rnacentral:lncRNA from 1 species
GCUCCUUAGAAAGGAAAUGAUGCGCAAUACUCCAGUCAUGGGCUGUUGGAAACCAAUUCUUCCAGGUGAAGCGUGAAGCCUUUGAACUGAUCUUCAUUCUUGAGUCUGAUUUGGCUGCUCUGACAUGUAGAGGAGAGCCCCUGGCAGGCCUAGGGGACUGUUCUGCUAGUUUGAAUUUGCCCCCAAGUCAUGAAGGACCUGAAGGAUCAUGAAUGAAUGAAUUUUGGCAAUGUGACUACCUCGCUGGGGACACCACUACAACAGACCAGUGUUGUUAGAGGUUUUGAGUGAGCAAGCCAGCCCUAGCCUAGGAAGAGAGAGAACCUAGAAA